rnacentral:rRNA from 2 species
UAGGGAAUCUUCGGCAAUGGACGAAAGUCUGACCGAGCAACGCCGCGUGAGUGAAGAAGGUUUUCGGAUCGUAAAACUCUGUUGUUAGAGAAGAACAAGGACGUUAGUAACUGAACGUCCCCUGACGGUAUCUAACCAGAAAGCCACGGCUAACUACGUGCCAGCAGCCGCGGUAAUACGUAGGUGGCAAGCGUUGUCCGGAUUUAUUGGGCGUAAAGCGAGCGCAGGCGGUUUCUUAAGUCUGAUGUGAAAGCCCCCGGCUCAACCGGGGAGGGUCAUUGGAAACUGGGAGACUUGAGUGCAGAAGAGGAGAGUGGAAUUCCAUGUGUAGCGGUGAAAUGCGUAGAUAUAUGGAGGAACACGAGUGGCGAAGGCGGCUCUCUGGUCUGUAACUGACGCUGAGGCUCGAAAGCGUGGGGAGCAAACAGG